rnacentral:rRNA from 1 species
CCUACGGGGGGCAGCAGUGGGGAAUAUUGGACAAUGGGGGAAACCCUGAUCCAGCGACGCCGCGUGUGUGAAGAAGGCCUGCGGGUUGUAAAGCACUUUUAGUGGGGACAUUUAACCUACAGAAAAAGCACCGGCUAACUCUGUGCCAGCAGCCGCGGUAAUACAGAGGGUGCGAGCGUUAAUCGGAAUUACUGGGCGUAAAGCGCGCGUAGACGGUUUUGUAAGUCGGAUGUGAAAUCCCCGGGCUCAACCUGGGAACUGCGUUCGAGACUGCAUGGCUAGAGUACGGUAGAGGGAAGCGGAAUUUCCGGUGUAGCGGUGAAAUGCGUAGAUAUCGGAAGGAACACCAGUGGCGAAAGCGGCUUCCUGGACCAGACUGACGUUCAUGUGCGAAAGCGUGGGGAGCAAACAGGAUUAGAUACCCUUGUAGUC